AGGUAGAAUGGCCGAAAAUAGGCGGCAGGCUGUAAUCCUGUUAAUGUAGGUUUGAUUCCUAUUUCUGU
rnacentral:tRNA from 1 species